rnacentral:rRNA from 1 species
GACAGAGGUGCCGAGCGUUAGGCGGAAUCACUGGGCUUAAAGCGUGUGUAGGCGGGCGGGCAAGUACCUUGUGAAAUCCCACGGCUCAACCGUGGAACGGCUGGGUAUACUGCCUGUCUUGAGCCAACUAGGGGCGAGCGGAACAGACGGUGGAGCGGUGAAAUGCGUAGAUAUCGUCUGGAACGCCAAAGGUGAAAACAGCUCGCUGGGUUGUGGCUGACGCUGGAGACACGAAAGCCAGGGGAGCGAAACGGG